UUUUUUUUUGCUGCAAACAUUUUAUCCUAGACAAUCUGUUGAAAAGCUCACAACAGGUAAGCAGUUUCCAUUCUCUAACAUUUUUGAGAAAAUACGCAGAGCUACAUUUACUGCUACCAAAACAGAAAAGCCAACUUCAGAUUUGGAAACCUGUCAUUCAUUCAUUGUUGAUUUAAAACAUGGUUUACUUGGCUAAAUCUUGCAAGUCUAGGCCUACGGCUGCUAAACCCAUUUUUUUGUUAGGUAAUUUCUUAGCUAAAUAUCAUGGCAAAUCAGCUCUCAUUUUGAUCUUAUUGACUUAGACUGUGAAGCUGUCCUUUCCCGGUAGCAGGACUUUUGCUGGAGUGAGACUGAGAAGGCUCUCUUUGGAACAGCUUUUGGAGGAGUUAAGGGAAGAGUAACAGAGAUUCAUGUCAAAUGUUUGCCAGAGUACCAGGAAGCACACUCUGCUGCCUAACAUGCAACUCUAAAAUCAACAAGUCAGAAAGCCUCAAGACAUAUUCUGUGGUGUUGAACAGCUUCUGAGCACAGUUCCUGAAGUUAAAACAAAUUUCUUGAUGUGGAGAUAAAGACAGACCCUGGAAGGAUAUAAACAGUGGCACACCACCUUCUGGAGAAACCAAGGACUUUGUAACAGUAAACUGGUCCAGUGUGAUAUUACAAGUAUAAAAAAUAUUCCAUUCUGUAUCAAAACUAGGCACAUGCCUUUAUUUAUAGUAACAGAAGUUAACAGAAUUGAGCAUUUUUGCCUUGGGUCCUAUUUCUUGGCAUCCUACAUCAGACAAACACAUCUUUCAACAUAUAUCUGCCCAUAACUCCAGGGAUCUAGUCUCAGGGUUAUCUCUAUGUAAAGGAAGGUGAAAUCACACUUGGAUCGAUAGUGGUGAGUAACU